UCAUUAGGUCAACUGUAACCACUAAGCCCCUUGUCAGGUUAUUUCUACAAGUGAUAAGGAGCAAUAGACCUUAAAACUUUGAAGCCAGAUAGACGAGCUUAUUCCACAAGGUCUCUUGGCUUCACCCUUGUUAAGUGCAACCUGCCAGGUGUGGGUCAUUUGACCUUUGUUAUAUAGGAAGCCUGAGGACGGGUGGGGGAAUUGCCUCCCCAGGAGAAACUGAGGCUUGGGUAGCCUAGGGUGUUUUUCUCUCGUGGCUCAGUGUUCCCUACUAGGCUGCUUUUCCUUCAAGUUUUCUGCCCUCUCUGUGAAAUAGUUUUAGAGACUCUAUGAGCCAGUUACAUUGGUGGUGCCUUCUUCAGAAAAACCCUGGUGGGACUGCUUCACUGCGAAGCACGUUGGAAGUGACUCGAGUUCAGGAGACAGCAGCUAAGUGCUGAAUGGGCCCUUCAGCUCAAAUUAAAUCACCCUGUGGCAUCAGAAAGAACCAAUUCUAAAGAGCAUCUAGGAUGUGUGACUUCCUAUUUUCUCCUUUUUCUAGAACAGGGCUAAUGGAGAGAAAUGAAACUGUGCUUUGUCAAGAGAGUCAUCUCCGGCUUCUUCAGGUGAUGGAAAGCAUGUUGUAGGCUGUACUUCAAGUGCUGCAGAAAAGAAUGGCACAAUCCCCAUUGUAACUGAUGAUGGUUUGGGUUUUGCUUAGAAAAACGUUGAGAAGAGUUGAGCAUUUGUGAGCAAAACAGUUGUCCUUUCAAUUAUUUGUUACCACUGCUUCAGGUAAGUUGAUAACACAUGAUUGAGGAGACUAACUUUUUAACUACCCCCAAAAAGUGCUGUUUGGCUUUCUUCACACUGAAUGACUUGGUCUACUGACCAGGGAUAGGACAAUUGACCCAACAGUAACCACAAGCAAAGAUGAACACGAGUGAUACAUCUCACCGUUCUUUUAAAAUAUAAACUUUCUUUUUGUACAUAUUCCUUUUGGAAUUGGCUGCUGUGUUGCAUAAGACCAGACUGACAGAAGAGGCCUCUGAGCUCUUUGGUUGUGAGUAAUUUUUGAACAACACAUACUGCCAAGAGUAAAACAAACUCAGAAAAAUACUGAGCAGAAAAAUGGCCCAGUGAAAAGUGCUGUCAGGUGAAUCACUCUUGAACUGCAGCAAAGCAGAAUUUAUCCUUUUUGUCUGAAAACAGUGGUUGCAAGAAUUUAAAUAAGUAAAAAAUGUAGUUUUAUGUCUGAUAAUACAUAUUGCUUGAAUGAAGCCACGUCAAUUAAAACCAUUAACUCAGAGAAAGCGAGUUAAAGGAGUGCAGUACACAAUGUGACAUAAUGUGGUCUAAAACAAAGCACAUAAAAAUACAGAAAAGUCCUGAACGUGCUUAAGCAGUUAAUCUGCUGUGCAAAUCACUAAGGUGUAAGGUGAGAACACAAUAUUCUUACACCAUCCAUUCUGAAUUUUUCUAAUCAUAACUCAAGAAAAUAAAACAAUACAAAAGGAGGUUCCUCACCUAAACUUAUAGCUGUGUGCAUAUUGCAAGAAAUACCAAAAGAGACCCAGAAUAAGAGGGGCAAAGGGGACUUCAAUCUUUCCAUGCAAUCCCACUUGGCUGAAAAGCGUAGAAGAGUGGUCUAUCCUGCAUAAACUAGAAGGAGUUUGCCUGUGGCAUUACAAGCCCAGGCGGGUUGUACUGUUACUCAGGUUGGGAUAAAGGAAAAAUGUUCUUAAAAGGGUUUAUUGAGAGAGCUUACACUGCCUGGUAUUGCUUAUUUUCCAGUACUAUCUUGAUACCAGCUGAUCAAUGCAUGGAGCAAGACUGUACUGAAUUCCUAGGCUGGGAGUGAUUACUUAACAUCAGAUACCCAACACCAAAUUCAAAAGAUGGUUAUUCAGUCCAGAAUGUGUUUGUACUUACAAACUACAGAUGUAUUUCUCAGUAUAUAUCAACAUUCAUGGUAUUAGAGAACUGCAGGGUACUGUUGUGAUUUAACUGCCAAAAGCCAGACAAGUACUUUAAUUCAAGGGGAAUCUCUGGAGGUCUAGUCUCUGUCCAAGGCAGGUCAAAAUUUCAAAGUUAGAUCAGGCUGCUGCAGUUUUGAAUACCUCCAAGGAUGAAGAUUCCCCAAGUCUCUAUUGGUUCCUAUUUUUCCUUUCAAAGUGCAUCCCUAAGUUAAAGAGUGUAGUAACUGGAUAAUGAGAAAACUCUGAGAACCUUGACUCAAACCUCACUGUUUAAAUAUGAACUUCAUUUCUGGAAGCACUGGGUUUCUGCGAAAAUAUGUAUAUAUACUGUUCAAAUAUGUGUUUGAGGCAUGCAACAUUUUGUAAUUAUCCCUUUCUUUCAUAACAACACAAUUGAGGUGUCAUGUCUGUUGGAUCUGCCUGUAAAAUAAUUCUUUUAGUUCAGACAUACUUGCAACUAAAACAAGUAUAAUGAACCACGUUUCUCCCUACAUGUUCUUUAUGAUCAGAAUGGUGUGAAUAGGGGAAAUUUUAUGCCAUUUCAGCUUCUGUAUGUGUUUGCAAAGAUAUUUGGAAAGGGAGGCAAUAUGAAGCACUGAACACCACCACCACACCCUGAGGCUUUAUGGGUGGGGAAGAAAACUGCUAUUUUAGCUUUAGAAAUAUGCAUAUGGUUUCUUUCCCUCUGAGCAGUAAAUUGGGGUUGAUGAUGCUUCAAGAGUGCAGAUGGAGCUGUACAAGUGGAAGAGAUGAGUAGUGCUAGGGGGUAACUAUUUUAAUAAAGAACUUACCUGUGAGCUGGAAGAAAGUCACUUGUUGCUCUGCCAUUCUUUUGUCAUUGGUAUUUGAGGACAUCCUUCAGGAGACACUAGAGUAAAUUCUCGUUUGUCAUGAGAAGCUUUAAAUUGAUGCAAGGUAUUUUAAAGUAAAGAAAACAUACUAUGGAUAAUAAAAAGGGAACAGAUCGGCUCAGUUACAAACAGCAGAUUUAAAAAAAAAAAAACAAAAAAAAAAAAACAACAAACAUUUAAGCAACUUAAGAUGCAGUCACAUUUCCAGAGAAAAGCAAACAAACUGUAAAAGCUACUUGCAUUAGUAGUUAGGUAUACAUGUCCUAGCAUGAGUAGUAAGAAUUUUUCAGAAGGGAUUUUUGUGCUGUUCAGCAGAUAAAUACUUUUCGGGGGGAAGGGGAAUGUUGAAGGUUCUGAAAUCCUUCCAUCUGUUCAAAGAGUCUGUCAUUGACUUUAGAUACAGUAUGUCUUGGACUAGGCCCAAUGCAGCUGAAAAGUCCCAGCGCCUGCUAUAGAGCAAAAGUGAAAAUUCUUUGAAGUUCAAGCGUGUCUGGCUGCAAUUUCUCCAGCCAGGAAGAGCUCUGAAUGAAGGUGAAUUGUAUAAUUAAUAUUCUUUUCCAUUCAUUGAGCUUCAUCCACUGCUGUUAUAAAAAGAAAAUAUAAUGUGCUUCAACAGCUUUCUAGGAUGAGAACCUGAAUACUCUUAGACUUCUGAUUUACCAAAUCACCAAUGAAUUCCAAUGGAAAAAAUCGUCUUAAAUUGCUGCACAAACAUAAACAUGUUCAUCAAAGGCAUGCUAUCAGCCAGAUGCUUUGUCUGUUGAAUUUGUAUUUUGCAAUCUCAGACUUCUGCAAUAAGUCUUAUUGGUGUGAUUACUUAAAUAUAUGACAGGAUGCAGUUACUAACUUCAUGCAAAUAUCUGGGUUAGUUUUUCAGCCUUAACAAGGUCUCAGGAGACUACAUUAGCCUGAAAAAGCAUUCUUACAUAUGACUCUUCCACUGAAUUUUUUUUGAAACUUACUUCAGGUCUUACAAGGUUUUGUCUAACCAUCUUACAAAGUGUUUCAUAUUUAUUGCAGCAAUAGAAUGUUCAGAGUGAUAAAUAAGGCAAACACUUUCCUAUCAUUUAUUCUGAUUGCCUUGUGCUCAAAAGACACAUGGGUCACUUCCAAAAAUGUUUUAUAAGUUGUCUUUGAUUACAUAUUUUGAGUAUUUUCUUCUAGGUAUGUUGUCUGCUAAAAGAAAAGUCAUACCAUUUUAAAAUUAGUCAUAGUUAUAAUUUUUAACAAGCCUUGAUGCUCUGUAGAUUUUGAGUGACUGCUGUGACGUAAUUUGCUUUUGAAAUAUCAAAUAUACAGCCAGUUUUGGUGGUAAUAGUUCUUCAAACAGUUUUGUUCACAAUGGAGUACUUCAAAGAGAGGAAAAAAAAAUAAUGACCUUAAUGUCAUCUUCUGAAGAACAUUGUGAUUAUAUGCAUUGCUUCUUAGUAUCUUGGCUACACAGUGGGUCAAAUCUAUUUUGUACUGCACAAGUUUAGGUUUCAACAAGAUUGCAAGAGUUCAGUUAUUUUGUCUCUUUUAAAAAGGAAGAUGGUAGACUCAUGAAAUCUCAGGUCAAUAUUUAGGUGAAAAGCUUUUUCUAUUAACUAUAUUUGAGACCUUAAUGUGUUCUUAUUUAAAUUGACUCCGCUUGGGAUAAUACAAGAUCUUUGCCAAUUCUCUGUCCUCUGCCAUCACCUUUUUUGAAAUUUGAUCACAAGCAUCCAACUCAGCUUUUCCAAUAAAAUAAAUAAAUGAAAAGGAGCAUCCAUCUCUUUCAUCUACUUGCUCUCAUCUGUAUGAAUCAAAAUGGAGAGCAGCAGGGGAAAAAAAAUAACUUCUUCCUUCUACCCUUGCAUAUGUACAAUGAUGACAUUUAAUUUUAAAUUCUAUUUUGGAAGUGUUUCCAUGAGUUUCCAUAUUCAAGGAAACUGUCUAAUGUCUUAAUAGAUUCAGACAAAUGAUUUUCACAUAACCUGACAAACAAUUAGUUCUGAUGUGUAAGAUGAUUGCAUCUGACCAAGUGUACCAUGCCUUUUCUGUUGAGAAGCUGAACGUAAAUGUAUUGAACCAGAACCCUUACUGAGGAGCCAGAACCCAAGGACGGUGAGAAUGGAUGGGUGGAUGCACUAUGCCAGCAGAAGCUGGGAAUACUCAGAGCUCCCUACAAGCUUGUUAUCUACUACCUGUGCCCUGUUUGUACAUCUCUGUUCAGAAGUGCCCGAAAAAAGGUGAAGCAUCCAGCAUGAAGCAGAGAGCUGCAGUCUACUGUCUUGUGGCACAGUGGUUGUUAGAGGUCUUCUGGAGCCUGUUUAAUUCAGCAGCCUCAAGCCUCUGAGUUGAAGUCCAGAACAGUUUGCUGUCACAACAAAUGUUCUUGUUAUAGUGUACUAUGACUUAUAUUAUUAUAGCUUGUAUGUGAAAUGAAGUUUUGUGCACUUCCAAAUUUAAUCCAAAAAUAUUAUUCAGACAAAUGUCCUCCAUUCUGGAUCUGUCAGUUGAAAGGAUUUGAGGAUUCUUCAGCAAGAAAACAGACCAGAUAUUCCUCUGGGUUUUAGUUGCUGCUUCACUACAAAGACAAUCCUUAUGGGCAAGGAUUUUCCAAAGAGUUUCCAGCUGAAACUCUACAAAACACCAGAGAAGGCUCAUUAUGAGGCAAUUCAGGUGAAGAAUCCAAAGUUCUAGGCAGUUGGCUGCCUACACCUACAGCUUGGCUGAGGACAAGGGCAGCUCCAGAGAUGUUGGAUUGAAGGUAGUGGCACGGGAGUCCCAGAUGAGGUUUCUCAUUGCUCUUUCUCAUGAUUUCAUGAUCUGAGAUUACACAGAGCAGACUUUCAGCACAAGCUGCUGAGCUCCUGGAACUGUGAUGGAAAAAGUUGCAGAUUACAGAGAAAGGAGGCUGCAGAUGCUUCAGGGCAGUAAGUCUGUUGAUGCACUCCUGACAUGAGAAAUAUAUGUCAGAUCCUCUUGUCUUUAUUGGCGGUAGCUCCAUUAGUAAUAAAAUAGCAUUUAUUUAAAUAAGCUGAGCUGUUUGCAUAUAUUCUGCUGACCACAAUUCUUACAUCUUGCUACAAAUCUGACACUGCUUCAGAGCACUAGGACACAAAAAUAGAAGGGCAGAUGUUACAAAUAACUGCAGCUAUUCAGCUGAUUUUUUUUGAGGGUAAGGAAAAAACUCAUAUGCUUUGGUUGUUUGAAUUUGAAAAUGUGAACAGUUCUCUGAUGAGAAAGUUACCGCAACAUUUACAAUCAAUUUUUAUUAUACAUAAAAAUGAUAAAUACGAUAUAUUUAUCAUGUUACAUGAAAGCUUUGUACAAACAAAAACAGUUGAAAUUAACAUGUACCUAUACUACAUAAUUACACCAUCCUGACCAACAAGAUAAAUUUUGCUGCCUUCCUCUAAGAUUUUUUAAUUGUAGUUAAUAACUCUAUCAAAAAUUGCAAGCUGAUUGCAAUAUAAAUGAUUCAUUGGCACCUGACAGUGUCAUGCCUGGAAUGUUUCUGACUGCACACAAAUCAAAGUUUCUCAGAUUUUGAAGGAGACAUCUGUGAGUACUUAAUGAUCAGCAACUUGCUUUUCAGAGUGGUUGCUUGACCACAUGUCAGGUAUCUGUAAGCACUGAAGGAAAACAAUUUAUUUCAAGAAGUGAAACCACCCUCUUAAGGUUCCAAUCCAGUGAAAGUGGAAAGCUUUUUUUUUUUAUACUUAUAAUAAUGUAUGUAAAAAUAAGGCUGAUUUUAAUACCUCUUAAAUUCAUUAAUUUUAAACUGGAUGUGAUGAGCCUUAAGUUAUAUCCAUAGUCUCUUCUUUCAUCAGCAGAAGAUGAAAGAUUCUGGAAGUAUGUAGUUUUAAUGGAAAAAAUAAUACCGUUGGGUUUAGUUCUUUGUGGUAUUGCCAGUUAUUAUUCAACACUUCUAACUUAACAGUAAAAUGAGAAAUAUGUCAAAUAAGAGAAUUUUGCUCUAUCUUAGUUAAUGCUGUAUUUUUUUUAAUUAAAUUAAAAAAAAAAUAAAAAAAAUUGUCCAUGGCAGGAAAAAAACAAACAACAAACUGUGGCUUACAAAUAUUUGCAUGUCAGAAGUUUCAGGAAAUAAAGGAUUCUUCUGCAAAUGUGUUGAUUAAUUUUGUAACAGAUAUCUUCAUUAGGCACCAACAAUAGUGAAUACUAUUUGUAUCUGCUGAGUCUUGAUUGUAUAUCAUACAUGUAUAUAUUUUCACUGAUAUCUUGGGUUCUGCAGGAUAACAAUUCCAAAACUGGAAUAAUGGAAUACAAAUCUAACUAGAUAUAUUCAGUUUUCUUAUGGUCAUAGGCUGCCAUUGAUGAUUUUUUGUGAACUACAGCUUUCUUCUGAUUAAUAAUCAUAAAAUGACAUUUUGAGAACUUUGAAUAUUAUUGAGAAAUGUUCUAUGCUAUUUCUGCUUCGUUCUUCCCAAGAUUACUUGAUUUUUUUCAAACAUCCCGCCCUUAAUUUGGUGGAUUUUCCACUGAAUUUGUUGUGCCCUUUCCAGAGGCCAGAAAUAUAUAAACAUUCUUCUCUUGAACUCCGUGACGCUUGUUCUCAGCCAUUCCUGCGUGUGUGACAACAUGAUUGUAUACCUGCUGUCCUCAUCAGUAAUUUAUCUGUUACAUCCACAAAGAAGUGCAUAAACUGUCAUCUAGGAAAACUGUGCAAUUGCCUAGGAAUAAGGGGACAGCACUUACCCAUAUGUACUCAAUCAUUUUUGACUGCCACCUUGAUAUCUUCCACAUUUAGUGGAGGAGGCAAAACAUGGCCUGCCACCUGAAACACUAAACAACUGCAGCUAUUUUUGAUCAUACAAAUACACAUGAACAGCAUCUGCACAGGG